rnacentral:rRNA from 1 species
GACGGAGGAUGCAAGCGUUAUCCGGAAUGAUUGGGCGUAAAGCGUCCGCAGGUGGCAGUUCAAGUCUGCUGUCAAAGACCGGGGCUUAACUUCGGAAAGGCAGUGGAAACUGAACAGCUAGAGUAUGGUAGGGGCAGAGGGAAUUCCUGGUGUAGCGGUGAAAUGCGUAGAGAGUCAGGAAGAACAUCGGUGGCGAAGGCGCUCUGCUGGACCAUAACUGACACUCAGGGACGAAAGCUAGGGGAGCGAAUGGG